GUUAGUUCAAGCCUAAAAAGCAGAAAAAACCAAACCUUCUUUGAGUAGUUCCUCUCUCUCUUUCUUGCAGAUGCAGAUUCUCUAACCACUAGCUUAUCAUUCUCUUAUCAUCAACAUCCAAAGAUGAAAAGAAUUGAUAUCUUCUGUGCUUCUCAAGCUUCAACAACCAUAUGCAUGAGCAUGGAUCAACCCUCUUCAUCCUCCACAUCAUCCUCUUCCUUGCCACCCACCAUUCAACUUGGCGGCCGAGCCAUCGACCGCCACAAUCCUAUAAUCAGAGACCAGAGAAGAACCCCUAGAUCUCUCUCAUUAGCUCCCUGUACUUCUCAGUCACCACCCAUCAAUCCCCAACCUUACCAUCUCCUUCGCAAGACCAAAAAAGAUCUUGCAAAAGGACCAGCAGCAGCUACCAACAAGACUAAUAAUGAUCAAACUAAGACAAAAAGCUCUAGAAAGCCAAACGAGCGAAAAGACAAGAAAAGCUCUUCUAAGGCAGCUGGUGAUGAUAUUGCUGAGAAGUAUUCAUCUUCUCCUUCUUCUUCUACUAGUGUGGUUAAAGAAGAUGUUUUUAGGAAGAGCUGGGCUAAGCGUAGUGAUUUUAUCACACCUCCUGGAUCUUCUAGAUAUCUUUUGAGCGAGAAGGAUUUUCUUGAUGGGUUAUAUGAUUAUGAUCCAGUAUUGGCAUUGGUUCCUGCUGAACCCAAUAGUUCGAAGCAACAAGAAUCUACUUUUUCGAAAGCUUCUUCAACUUCCAACUCAGAGGGGCCAUCAAACCAGGUUGUGGUUUUGAGAGUGUCACUGCACUGCAAAGGCUGUGAAGGAAAAGUAAGGAAGCAUCUAUCUAGAAUGGAAGGCGUGAGAUCGUACAGCAUAGAUUUUGCAGCAAAGAAGGUGACAAUUGUAGGAGACGUAACGCCAUUAGGUGUGCUGGCUAGUGUAUCAAAGGUGAAGAGUGCACAAUUUUGGACACCAGCUGCAAACCCAGCUCCACCACUCUCUAAUUACUCACAACCCCAGAAGUAAUUUUUUUAUAAUAAUAAUUAUUAUUAUGCGAGAACAGUUAAUUAGUUUCAAUUUGGUGCUUAAUUUAGUGUAAAUUCAGUCUUUUCUUUUAUAUAUGUGAUUAGCAUGAGUAGCUGGAAAAGAAUCUUUGCUUAUUAGAAGUUGGUAAUGAAAUAAAAGAAAAGCAAUAGAGAGGGGCAAUUUGGACUGUUCUUUCUAACUGCUAGUUAUAUGCUCUGGGUGUCGUUUCAUUAUGGCAAAAGUAAAAGAAUAGUUGGCCAGUUUGGUCUUUUG
rnacentral:misc_RNA from 1 species